rnacentral:rRNA from 2 species
AUAUCAAUAAGCGGAGGAAAAGAAACCAACAGGGAUUGCCCCAGUAACGGCGAGUGAAGCGGCAAGAGCUCAAAUUUGAAAUCUGGCCCCUCCGGGGUCCGAGUUGUAAUUUGCAGAGGAUGCUUCGGGCGCGGUCCCCGUCUAAGUACCCUGGAACGGGUCGUCAUAGAGGGUGAGAAUCCCGUCUGGGACGGGUGGCCGUGUCCGUGUGAAGCUCCUUCGACGAGUCGAGUUGUUUGGGAAUGCAGCUCUAAAUGGGUGGUAAAUUUCAUCUAAAGCUAAAUAUUGGCCGGAGACCGAUAGCGCACAAGUAGAGUGAUCGAAAGAUGAAAAGCACUUUGAAAAGAGAGUUAAACAGCACGUGAAAUUGUUGAAAGGGAAGCGCUUGCGACCAGACUCGCCCGCGGGGGUUCAGCCGGUACUCGUACCGGUGUACUCCCCCGGGGGCGGGCCAGCGUCGGUUUGGGCGGUCGGUCAAAGGCCUCCGGAAUGUGUCGCCCCCCGGGGCGUCUUAUAGCCGGAGGUGCAAUGCGGCCAGCCUGGACCGAGGAACGCGCUUCGGCUCGGACGCUGGCGUAAUGGUCGUAAGCGGC